ensembl:snoRNA
CAGCAUGUUUGCAAGGGUAGUGGCUGGUUGUGGCAAUGGGAUCUUCAGCUGCACGCUAGAGCAACCUGCAGAGACUUUGACAGCUCAGGCCAGUCCAGUACAUGCACCUGCCACUCAUCUUUCCCAUAAUG